rnacentral:misc_RNA from 1 species
AUCGAGACACCUCGCGGAGAGGUGGCAGAGCGGUUGAAUGCACCGCACUCGAAAUGCGGCAUGCCUGCAAGGGCAUCGGGGGUUCGAAUCCCCCCCUCUCCGCCACAUUAAUCCCUAGAGUGCAGAGCAAGCCGGUGAACCGUUUCGCGCCUGCGAUGUACACGGGAUUGUAC